rnacentral:lncRNA from 1 species
GUCAAAACAAUUUCAAAAAAAAUAUUAUAAUAAAGAAUAAAGAAAUAAGAGAAAAAUAGAAAAGUCUAAAAAGCCCUUCUCCGGAAACCGAAACCUAUUUCUUCUUUCAACAUUUUUUCAGGCCAGCAGACAUUUGGUUCACCUGUCUCUAUAAUUUCCAACCAAUCUCCACUGAAACGACCUUUUUUAAUGAUAGAUAAACCGGAUCGGGUCGGGGGCGAUUGGGAUUGAAAACCACCCGAAACCUUCUCCACACGAACUCAGAUGAAGAUACAGAGGAAGAAAAACCAACAUACAUCAAAACAUUUCAUUUCUCGUCUCCUUGUAUUGGGGAAGAUGAUUCCCCAUUUAUACAUUUUAAUUCAUAAAGUGCUACUAAAAAUAAAGUGCUACUACCUCUACGACAACUUAUAAAAGUGUUAAACCUAUUAUUUAAAUAAAAUGCUAUUUGACUUAAAGAAGUGCUACACCCCUUUUUACGUUUCUUUGUUCCCUUCAAUUUUGGAUCGUUACAAUACUCCUCCCUUAAACCGUCCUUGUCCUCAAGGACCGAGCAAAAUGUAGCUUGUAAUGACGGUCUUGAGACUUGAUCAAAUCCAUUCAAAAUCUGUAACUCACUAUACAAAUUCGAGGUAUACCCAACAAGAGUAUAUAACCGGUAGUGACAGUAGAAUGGCAUGAAACAAGGGCAACAACAAAUUUUUGAGGUGUUGCAAAACGCUUCCUCUAGAACAGUCUUUAUUCCCAAGGUUUGGAGUGGAGUGCUUAUUCGUGAAAUCCUGGAGCCUUGUGGAGGUGGUUCUGGUGGUGGACGAAGCGAUCCCAACCACGCAUUGCUAGUGCGCGGUAACAACUCCAUUUGAGAAUAAGCUUGCCAUAAGAUUAUCAAACCAAUGUUGACCCUUGUAGAUCGAAAAACUUCUUUUGCAUAAUCGUUUGUCCGCAUCCUUAAUACCUCAGGUACCAAUCGAACUGAAAUUACAACACCUUCAAGUAAUUCUACUUCCCAGCCAGAGUCACGUAACAAAUGAAUUGAGCAAUCAUUCACUGUACCAUUUUCAGCCUUCGUUUCCAUACUCUCAUUUUCCUCAUAAAGCUGAUCAAACCGUGCAUUUGACACUUUAAUCAAAGGGGAUUCCUCCUUGCUAUGAAACCUGAAUUUAUCAUGCUCCACUUCAUUUAUCAUCAACGUAUUCUCUUUCUCCAAUACAUUUUCAAAGGAUUCAACAACUGUACUUGACCCUUGAACUUCAAACGCAAAAAUUUUCAUAGAAAGCUCCCUUGUGCAAUUUUCAGUUUCAGUUCCUAUUGACCCUUUCUCCGACAUUUCCUCAAACACAAUCAACUCAUCAAUUUUAUUCACAACAUUUUCAGUAUCAUUUCCCACAUACUUUCUAUUAGGCAUUUCAUCAAACACCACCAACUCACUCAUUGCAAGACUAUCUCCUUCACUAGAUAUAUCAACAGUGGUAUCAACUACCAAGUGUUUAGGAGGAAUCUCAACUACAUAAUCCAUCGAUAAGCUAAAAUCAUUGCUACUUUUAUGGCCAAGAAGAAUUAGGGCAUCUUCCUGCAACUUAGCCAAGCUAACCACCUCAAUCAUAGUCUGAGGUUUAAACAUGCUAAUUUGAAGAGAAAUCUCAGACUUCAAUCCACCCAAAAAAUAACUCACAGCAUAAGUUUCAGGUAAAUCUACAUUCCUCAACAACAAUUCAAAUUUGUCGGCAUAAUCUGUAACAUUUCCUAUUUGUUUCAAAGACGCCAAUUCAUACAUAGGAUCUUCAUAAAGUAGGGACCCAAACCUGUCAUGUAAAGCUCGGAUGUAUUCCUCCCAAUUAAGCGGCUCCCACCUUGCUUUCAUAAAACUCCGAUGCCAUUCCAAGGCCUUUCCAUCUAAAUGCAUCGUCGCUAGUUCCACUCUCCCUUCUGAAGGAGUAUCUUCGAUUUCAAAAAUUUGUUCACAUUUGAACACCCAACUUCGUAGAUUCAGCCCGUUGAAUUUAGGAAAUUCUACCGACGAACAUUUUUUUGGAGGUUGAUAAUCAUGCCCCCACUCUGACCCACGUGGAGUCUCACGAAUUUCUUGCCCGACCGCCCUUGAGGUUUCGACAUGGAGAUCUGUCGAAGUCUGCAACUUAUACAUCCUUAACGACAACGCCGCAAGCAAUUCUUCCAUAAUUUGUUUGUCCCCGCCAUCAACCGAUUGCCUAUUCUCCCUUCCUUGACCCAUCUGUUUGUGCAUCUCUUCGUAUAGACCCUUCGCCAUUUCCCUUUUUUUUUUUUUUUUUUUUUUUUUGAAAUCUAGAGCCGCCGAGGAUCGACGGCUCUGAUACCAAUUGAAACGACCUUUUUUAAUGAUAGAUAAACCGGAUCGGGUCGGGGGCGAUUGGGAUUGAAAACCACCCGAAACCUUCUCCACACGAACUCAGAUGAAGAUACAGAGGAAGAAAAACCAACAUACAUCAAAACAUUUCAUUUCUCGUCUCCUUGUAUUGGGGAAGAUGAUUCCCCAUUUAUACAUUUUAAUUCAUAAAGUGCUACUAGAAAUAAAGUGCUACUACCUCUACGACAACUUAUAAAAGUGUUAAACCUAUUAUUUAAAUAAAAUGCUAUUUGACUUAAAGAAGUGCUACACCCCUUUUUACGUUUCUUUGUUCCCUUCAAUUUUGGAUCGUUACAUCCACUCAGAAAAAAUGUCUCGCCCUCACCCUCCCGCCGCCGCCGCCAUGAAACCACCUCCCCCUCCGCAGCAGCCGAGACCAAUUGUUAUGGCUGACCUCAACGUUGACCCGCCGGAAUCAGACGCCUACGCCUUUUCUAC